rnacentral:lncRNA from 13 species
AUGAAGAGAACAAAUGAGCGGACAGAUUUUGACGGGAAUGAACCCUCUCGCUUCCUCUCGUGCUACAGAGAUGGGCUCCUGGAUCACCUCAAGGUCAUCCUUGAUCGACCACCGCAUAUGUGGAAGCUGUGCAUCCCAGGACCCCUGUCAGCCCAGUGUGAGAGGCCUGACCUAUGCAUCCCAGGACCCCUGUCAGCCCAGUGUGAGAGGCCUGACCUAUGCAUCCCAGGACCCCUGUCAGCCCAGUGUGAGAGGCCUGACCUAUGCAUCCCAGGACCCCUGUCAGCCCAGUGUGAGAGGCUUGACCUAUGCAUCCCAGGACCCCUGUCGGCCCAGUGUGAGAGGCCUGACCUAUGCAUCCCAGGACGCCUGUCGGCCCAGUGUGAGAGGCCUGACCUAUGCAUCCCAGGACGCCUGUCGGCCCAGUGUGANNNNNNNNNNGCCCAGUGUGAGAGGCCUGACCUAUGCAUCCCAGGACCCCUGUCAGCCCAGUGUGAGAGGCCUGACCUAUGCAUCCCAGGACCCCUGUCAGCCCAGUGUGAGAGGCCUGACCUAUGCAUCCCAGGACCCCUGUCAGCCCAGUGUGAGAGGCUUGACCUAUGCAUCCCAGGACCCCUGUCGGCCCAGUGUGAGAGGCCUGACCUAUGCAUCCCAGGACGCCUGUCGGCCCAGUGUGAGAGGCCUGACCUAUGCAUCCCAGGACGCCUGUCGGCCCAGUGUGAGAGGUCUGACCUAUGCAUCCCAGGACCCCUGUUGGCCCAGUGUGAGAGGCCUGACAAGGAGGCGGGCAUAGCUAUUUGUCUCCCACGUCAAUCUUGAGGGUGACUGAAGCCUGCUUGAUUGAAGUGGGGUAUGCUGGUCCCCAUCAAUCUCUGUAGGUGGUUGAGUUUUCUAAAGUCAAAAUAAAUCACGUUUACGUGAUGACAUCACACUUUGUUGCUUUGUAUUGUUUCUUCAAGCAUUCGGACAGGAGAGCAGUGUUACAAAUUGUAUGAGUCAAAGGGUCCUGCACACUGUUGGGUGGCCGGGUGCCCAUAUAAGGCAUAUGGCUCUAAUAUAUUCCUUAAAUGUCAAAUGAUGUCUCAUCAUCAUUUAUGUUGAUCAAUAUUUCGGUUGUGCUGGCCUAAUUUGUAAAUGAUCAAAUAAAUGUCUGAUCAAUACAUACAAUUCCGAAUAUAUUGUUAUUUAUAAUGCUAAUGAAGAGGCACCAAAAAAUUGUCCAGUACACUCAUUCAUUAUAUGCUGUUUUCAUAUGUCUACGCUUCUAAGGUGUCUCGGGCUUUACUAAUUAUUGUAAAGAAAUGUAUUCUGUAAUUAGUUACAAAACAAUAGUCUGACUAAACUUCAUAUGGAGAAAAGGAAUGCUGUAUUCUAUUUUGGAAACAGACGACUUUGUUAUUGGACUAAUAUAUGCAUAAACACAGUGCAUCUGUACACCAAGAAUGAUAUGUAAAUGUGACACAUGUCAAGAACACGAGCCAGUUCUCUUGGCCAUGAGAGCAUUUUGCAGAGAAAAUGGGUUGUGAAUUACAAUUUAGGUAAGGAUUGUUUACCUUGUUACCAGGCGACGACCACAAGGGCGUUUUCAAAGAGCUCUCAUUCAAGGCGAGCUCAUGAAUAUAAGCUCUCCUCCCACUCAGCCUGUUCUUUCAGGCUUCCCGAUAGUUAGAGAUGAGAGAAGGUACAAUUUCUUCAAUUCUGAGCAUUAAUGGUGUAAAAAUAUUAUGGGGGAUGUUUUGGUCAUGCAAAGGCUAUUUUUGCUUGGGAAAUAGGAUGAUUUAGGAGAAAUUGUAGAAAUAGGCAGGGUUUAGGGUCGUCAUUAGUUGACACAAAGUCCUUUUUAAUACAAAAAAACAGACAAUGCUGACAUAAUUUCUGAUUUCUUAAAGAAAAUAGUGAGGUAAUAAACAAUAUCUUUAUAAAUGAUUGUAAAGCAAUAAAUAAUUUAAGACUAUAUACUGGAUACUGAGUUAUUAACAAAAGGAGCAAAGUUCACAGUACACAUGGAGAAAUGCCUGUAAAAUGACUAGCAUACAUCCAAAGUCAUGUUUAACAUGUGACUGGACAGCCUAUAUCCCAAGUCAUGUUUAACACAUGUGACUGGACAGCCUAUAUCCCAAGUCAUGUUUAACACGUGACUGGACAGCCUAUAUCCCAAGUCAUGUUUAAUACAUGUGACUGGACAGCCUAUAUCCCAAGUCAUGUUUAAUACAUGUGACUGGACAGCCUAUAUCCAAAGUCAUGUUUAACACACGUGACUGGACAGCCUGUAUCCCAAGUCAUGUUUAAUACAUGUGACUNNNNNNNNNNGCCCAGUGUGAGAGGCCUGACCUAUGCAUCCCAGGACCCCUGUCAGCCCAGUGUGAGAGGCCUGACCUAUGCAUCCCAGGACCCCUGUCAGCCCAGUGUGAGAGGCCUGACCUAUGCAUCCCAGGACCCCUGUCAGCCCAGUGUGAGAGGCUUGACCUAUGCAUCCCAGGACCCCUGUCGGCCCAGUGUGAGAGGCCUGACCUAUGCAUCCCAGGACGCCUGUCGGCCCAGUGUGAGAGGCCUGACCUAUGCAUCCCAGGACGCCUGUCGGCCCAGUGUGAG